AUGCCCACUUCAGCAGCACAUAUGCUAAAAUUGGAAUGACACAGAGAUGAGCAUGGCCCCUAUGCAAGGAUGACACACAAAUUCAUGAAGCAUGCUAUAUUUUU
rnacentral:snRNA from 1 species